rnacentral:rRNA from 1 species
GACGAACGCUGGCGGCGUGCUUAACACAUGCAAGUCGAACGGUAAGGCCUUUCGGGGUACUCGAGUGGCGAACGGGUGAGUAACACGUGGGUGAUCUGCCCUGCACUUCGGGAUAAGCCCGGGAAACUGGGUCUAAUACCGGAGAGGACUGCUCGGGGCAUGCCGUGUGGUGGAAAGAUUUAUCGGUGCAGGAUGGGCCCGCGGCCUAUCAGCUUGUUGGUGGGGUAAUGGCCUACCAAGGCGACGACGGGUAGCCGGCCUGAGAGGGCGACCGGCCACACUGGGACUGAGACACGGGCCAGACUCCUACGGGAGGCAGCAGUGGGGAAUAGUGCACAAUGGGCGGAAGCCUGAUGCAGCGACGCCGCGUGAGGGAUGACGGCCUUCGGGUUGUAAACCUCUUUCAGCAGGGACGAAGCGUGAGUGACGGUACCUGCAGAAGAAGCACCGGCCAACUACGUG